rnacentral:rRNA from 1 species
CACGUAGUUAGCCGUCCCUUUCUGGUAAGAUACCGUCACAGUGUGAACUUUCCACUCUCACACCCGUUCUUCUCUUACAACAGAGCUUUACGAUACCGAAAACCUUCUUCACUCACGCGGCGUUGCUCGGUCGACGGGUUCCCCCAUUGCCGAAGAUUCCCUACUGCUGCCUCCCGUAGGAGUCUGGGCCGUGUCUCAGUCCCAGUGUGGCCGAUCACCCUCUCAGGUCGGCUAUGUAUCGUCGCCUUGGUGAGCCGUUACCUCACCAACUAGCUAAUACAACGCAGGUCCAUCUGGUAGUGAUGCAGUUGCAUCUUUCAAUUAAUUAUCAUGCAAUAAUCAAUUUUAUGCGGUAUUAGCUAUCGUUUCCAAUAGUUAUCCCCCGCUACCAGGCAGGUUACCUACGCGUUACUCACCCGUUCGCAAACUCAUACCAAGAAAGAGCAAAGCUCCUCUCUUCAGGCUUCUACUUGCAUGAUUAGGCACGCCGCCAGCU